AUUGAACGCUGGCGGCAGGCCUAACACAUGCGAGUCGAGCGGAUGAAGGGAGCUUGCUCCUGGAUUCAGCGGCGGACGGGUGAGUAAUGCCUAGGAAUCUGCCUGGUAGUGGGGGAUAACGUCCGGAAACGGGCGCUAAUACCGCAUACGUCCUGAGGGAGAAAGUGGGGGAUCUUCGGACCUCACGCUAUCAGAUGAGCCUAGGUCGGAUUAGCUAGUUGGUGGGGUAAAGGCCUACCAAGGCGACGAUCCGUAACUGGCCUGAGAGGAUGAUCAGUCACACUGGAACUGAGACACGGUCCAGACUCCUACGGGAGGCAGCAGUGGGGAAUAUUGGACAAUGGGCGAAAGCCUGAUCCAGCCAUGCCGCGUGUGUGAAGAAGGUCUUCGGAUUGUAAAGCACUUUAAGUUGGGAGGAAGGGCAGUAAGUUAAUACCUUGCUGUUUUGACGUUACCAACAGAAUAAGCACCGGCUAACUUCGUG
rnacentral:rRNA from 1 species